rnacentral:rRNA from 1 species
GACGAACGCUGGCGGCAUGCCUAAUACAUGCAAGUCGAACGAGAUCUUCGGGUCUAGUGGCGCACGGGUGCGUAACGCGUGGGAAUCUGCCCUUUGGUCCGGAAUAACAGUUGGAAACGACUGCUAAUACCGGAUGAUGACGCAAUUCCAAAGAUUUAUCGCCAGAGGAUGAGCCAGCGUAGGAUUAGCUAGUAGGGGUGGUAAAGGCGCACCAAGGCGACGAUCCUUAGCUGGUCUGAGAGGAUGAUCAGCCCCACUGGGACUGAGACACGGCCCAGACUCCUACGGGAGGCAGCAGUGGGGAAUAUUGUACAAUGGGCGAAAGCCUGAUCCAGCAAUGCCGCGUGAGUGAUGAAGGCCUUAGGGUUGUAAAGCUCUUUUACCCGGGAUGAUAAUGACAGUACCGGGAGAAUAAGCCCCGGCUAACUCCGUGCCAGCCGCCGCGGUAA